rnacentral:rRNA from 1 species
GACGGAGGAGGCAAGCGUUAUCCGGAAUUAUUGGGCGUAAAGCGUCCGCAGGUGGCUUCUCAAGUCUGCCGUCAAAGCCCAGGGCUUAACUCUGGAUAGGCGGUGGAAACUGGGUCGCUAGAGUAUGGUAGGGGUAGAGGGAAUUCCCGGUGUAGCGGUGAAAUGCGUAGAUAUCGGGAAGAACACCAGUGGCGAAGGCGCUCUACUGGGCCAUUACUGACACUCAUGGACGAAAGCUAGGGGAGCGAAAGGG